UUUCAGUUUCUUGUCUCCACACCAGCAGGGAGGGGCUCACAGGACCCCAUAACGCUGGAUCCUACAGAGCUGGAGUAAUACCAUGCUUGGACAGAGCACAGAAGCCUUCUUCCCUGGGGAUCGCUCUGUACUGUGACUUUUUUUUUUUUUUGAGAGGGAGUCUCACUGUCGACCAGGCUGGAGUGCAGUGGCGCGAUCUCAGCUCACUGCAACCUCUGAGGCUGAACUACUCUGACUCAGCCUCCCGAGUAUCUGGGAUUACAGACACCCGCCACCACGCCCUGCUAAUUUUUGUAUUUUUAGUAGAGACGGGGUUUCGCCAUGUUGGCCAGGCUGGUCGCGAACUCCUGAGUUCGGGUGAUCCGCCCGCCUUGGCCUCCCAAAGUGCUGGGAUUACAGGCGUGAGCCAUCGCCCGGCCAACUGAAACUUCCUACAAUUCGGGUUAGGAAUCUUCGCGUUUGUACGUGAAGACGAUGGGAGGACGGGCCUCCAGGAUGUGCCCGCAGCGCCACGGAGGGAACCCGGACUCGGCUGGACGUGGAGCCGGUGGGCGGAGACGGGGGCGAGAGGGGGCGAGGUUCGAGUGGCUCUGCGCGCGGGCGCGAGGCCCAGAGCCCGGGAUCGCACUGUGGAGCCCAGGCCCGGCGAGGCCAGCACUAUGGGCAGGGCCUCUGGAGCUCUGACUCGGAGCACCCUGCUCCGGCCCGCCGGGGGUACUAAACCCGCCUAUAGUCGCCAGAAUCUGGCGGGGCUACAGACAGGGACCUUUAAUUCCGCCCCCCAGCCCCGCCUCGGUCCGGAGAAGCCCCGCGACAGGCCUACGCAGGCUCCGGAAGCUGUUCUUCUGCGCAGGCGCCCUGAGCCCGCAGCCCCGCCCCUCUCCGCGCCAAGCACCGCCCCGCCGGGUUCGCGCUCGCUGGCCGCCAUGGAGCGGUGGUCACUGCCGCUCUGCACGCUGCCGCCCGGCGCCGGGCCGCCCCGCUUCGUGUGCUACUGCGAAGGGGAGGGAAGCGGAGAGGGAGACCGCGGCGGCUUCAGCCUGUACGUGACCGACGCCGCGGAGCUUUGGAGCACCCACUUCACGCCGGACAGCCUGGCGGCCCUCGUGGGUAACUGGGCGCCUGGGCGGGUCCGGGAACCGCCACGCCCCUCCCUGCAGUCCAGGUCGUCUGUGGGGUGACCGACAUCUGGGAUUCCUGCCCGCCCUGUAGCUGCAGUCUUUACAUUCACUAGGGGUCCCAAGUGGAUCUGGGGUCGGGCAGCUUUCGGGUGCUCCCAGUGGGUCUCGGGUCCUAGGUACCUGGUGACAAGCCCCUGUGCUCUCUAGAAAGCUGGUUUUGGCCUGAGUGCGGCUGAGGACAUCACGCCCCGGUUCAGCCUGUGAGCAGCAAGCUGUGGCUCUGACCCUGCAGGAGGACAGAGCAUCCCUCACCCUUUCAGGGGGGCCCUCGCCAUUGGCCUUUGACCUCUCCAAGG